rnacentral:rRNA from 1 species
GAUGAACGCUGGCGGCGUGCCUAAUACAUGCAAGUCGAGCGAACGGACGAGAAGCUUGCUUUUCUGAUGUUAGCGGCGGACGGGUGAGUAACACGUGGAUAACCUACCUAUAAGACUGGGAUAACUUCGGGAAACCGGAGCUAAUACCGGAUAAUAUUUUGAACCGCAUGGUUCAAAAGUGAAAGACGGUCUUGCUGUCACUUAUAGAUGGAUCCGCGCUGCAUUAGCUAGUUGGUAAGGUAACGGCUUACCAAGGCAACGAUGCAUAGCCGACCUGAGUGGGUGAUCGGCCACACUGGAACUGAGACACGGUCCAGACUCCUACGGGAGGCAGCAGUAGGGAAUCUUCCGCAAUGGGCGAAAGCCUGACGGAGCAACGCCGCGUGAGUGAUGAAGGUCUUCGGAUCGUAAAACUCUGUUAUUAGGGAAGAACAUAUGUGUAAGUAACUGUGCACAUCUUGACGGUACCUAAUCAGAAAGCCACGGCUAACUACGUG